rnacentral:rRNA from 1 species
AUUGAACGCUGGCGGCAGGCCUAACACAUGCAAGUCGAACGAGUAGCGGACGGGUGAGUGAUGUCGUGGAAACUGCCCGAUGGAGGGGGAUAAAGACUGGAACAGGUAGCAACUAGCGCCUAACGUCGGAAGUGCCAAGAUGGGAUUAGCUAGUGGGUGGGGUAACGGCUGAACUAGGCGACGAUCCCGAGCUGGUCUGAGAGGAUGAGCAGCCACACUGGAACUGAGACACGGUCCAGACUCCGACGGGAGGCAGCAGUAGGGAAUCUUCCGCAAUGGGCGCAAGUCUGACUCAGCCAUGCCGCGUGUAUGAAGAAGGUCUUCGGGUUGUAAAGUUCUUUCAGCGGGGAAGCGUUACCUGACCAGGAAGCCCCGGCUAACUCCGUGCCAGCAGCCGCGGUAAUAC